UGACACUGAUGACCUGGCAUGUUGGUA
rnacentral:piRNA from 1 species